GAAACCGCAUGGUUUUGAUUUGAAAGGCGCUUUCGGGUGUCGCUGAUGGAUGGACCCGCGGUGCAUUAGCUAGUUGGUGAGGUAACGGCUCACCAAGGCCACGAUGCAUAGCCGACCUGAGAGGGUGAUCGGCCACAUUGGGACUGAGACACGGCCCAAACUCCUACGGGAGGCAGCAGUAGGGAAUCUUCGGCAAUGGACGAAAGUCUGACCGAGCAACGCCGCGUGAGUGAAGAAGGUUUUCGGAUCGUAAAACUCUGUUGUUAGAGAAGAACAAGGAUGAGAGUAACUGUUCAUCCCUUGACGGUAUCUAACCAGAAAGCCACGGCUAACUACGUGCCAGCAGCCGCGGUAAUACGUAGGUGGCAAGCGUUGUCCGGAUUUAUUGGGCGUAAAGCGAGCGCAGGCGGUUUCUUAAGUCUGAUGUGAAAGCCCCCGGCUCAACCGGGGAGGGUCAUUGGAAACUGGGAGACUUGAGUGCAGAAGAGGAGAGUGGAAUUCCAUGUGUAGCGGUGAAAUGCGUAGAUAUAUGGAGGAACACCAGUGGCGAAGGCGGCUCUCUGGUCUGUAACUGACGCUGAGGCUCGAAAGCGUGGGGAGCAAACAGGAUUAGAUACCCUGGUAGUCCACGCCGUAAACGAUGAGUGCUAAGUGUUGGAAGGGUUUCCGCGCCUUCAGUGCUGCAGCUAACGCAUUAAGCACUCCGCCUGGGGGAGUACGACCGCAAGGUUGAAACUCAAAGGAAUUGACGGGGGCCCGCACAAGCGGUGGAGCAUGUGGUUUAAUUCGAAGCAACGCGAAGAACCUUACCAGGGUCUUGACAUCCUUGGACCACUCUAGAGAUAGAAGCUUCCCCCUUCGGGGGGCAAAGUGACAGGGUGGGUGCAUGGGUUUGUCGUCAGCUCGUGUCGUGAGAUGUUUGGGGUUAAGUCCCCGCAACGAGCGCAACCCUUUAUUGGUUAGUUUGCCAUCAUUUCAGUUUGGGGCACUCUAGCAAGAACUGCCGGGUGACAAACCCGGAGGAAAAGGUGGGGGAUGACGUCAAAUCCAUCCAUGCCCCUUAUGACCUGGGCUACACACGUGCUACAAUGGGAAGUACAACGAGUUGCGAAGUCGCGAGGCUAAGCUAAUCUCUUAAAGCUUCUCUCAGUUCGGAUUGCAGGCUGCAACUCGCCUGCAUGAAGCCGGAA
rnacentral:rRNA from 1 species